AAUUGUCUAAGUAAUCAUAAUUAAUAAUGCCUGAAUUCACCUUAAUCAGGCCCAAAAAGCCCUAAACUGUUGUUAUUUAACCUUUAGCCUGCUGUUGGCAGUGUCGGCAAGUGAUUCUGCCUUUGCGACCAGUGCAUAAAGUCUGUUGGUAAAUGAAUACUAAUCAGUUAACUUGAAGUCAAUGUUGACUGUAAGAUAUUUUGAAGACUUUGUGAAUUACCCUUUACCCUCCUAAAUUUCUAAAAUGGACUGGUCUAUCAUUCAAUCUGGACAAUACAAUUUAUCAUUCAGGGGGGUGUUCACUGAAAAUUUAUUGAUAGCAUAGUGAACAGUGCAGACCAAGAUCAGCCUGACCAUCCAUGAGUUAGGACCACGUGUGAGGCACAUGCUGUUCUCUAUGACAUUAUUUGUACUCAAUCUCUGUUUCAUAUGGGGAAUUGGCAGUUACAGAGAACAAGUUUGUACUGCUACAGAAUCCAGGAACACUGGUAAGGUUAAAUGCCUGCCAGAAAAAAACUGAAAUAUUGUUGAAAAAUAGCAUUGAACUCAAAAUAAAAAACAAACAAAUCUUUUGCAGUGCAUUGGGAAGUAACAGUAAAGCAGAAUACCUACAGUCCAUGAAGUUGAGAAAUGAAGAAAUGCAGCUCUGAAUUGUUUAAUACGGUGUGUGGGGAAAACAUUGUGGAUAUGAAGCAUAGAAAUCAUGUGUCAAGCUGAACACAGACAAAACAUGCUUUUUUGUAAAAAUAAAACAUAUUUUACAAUGGAAGGGAGUGUGAAGUAACAGUAACACGGAAUGGCUGGAGACCAUUAACUUAAGAACUGAAGAGAUACAGGUCAUUGUUCUAUAUGGUGAUUGAUGGAACCAUGGUGCAGUUUUGAAUUGAUAAGGUGUGCAGUUACAGAAAAGCAGAAUAGCUACAGACCAUGAAAGUUAGAAAAUGAAGAGAUGCAUGUCUCAGUUCAGCAUGGUGUAUAUGGGAAACAUUGUGUAUAGCAGACCUCUGUUCAACAUGGUGUAUAUGGGAAACAUUGUGGGUCACAGACAUGAAAUGGUUUGUGUGAAGUAACAGUAAAGAAGAAUGGCUACAGACAAUUAGUUCAGAAUUGAAGAGAUGCAGGCUUUUGUUUUAUAUGGUGUAUGAGGGAACCAUGGUGGAAAUUUGGAUUUCAUGGCAGUCAUAGAAAUAUCUAAUAAGUCUAUAAGACAGUGAUGUGUGUAUCAGUCUGUCCGGCUCAUAUGUGUCUGUCCAGUCGACAAAUUGGCAAUGGAUGUGUAGAUUUUCAAAUAAUU